UACGUAGGGUGCGAGCGUUAAUCGGAAUUACUGGGCGUAAAGCGUGCGCAGGCGGUUUUAUAAGCCAGAUGUGAAAGCCCCGGGCUCAACCUGGGAAUGGCAUUUGGGACUGUAAGGCUGGAGUAUGGCAGAGGAGACUAGAAUUCCUGGUGUAGCAGUGAAAUGCGUAGAUAUCAGGAGGAAUACCGAUGGCGAAGGCAGGUCUCUGGGCCAAUACUGACGCUCAUGCACGAAAGCGUGGGGAGCAAACAGGAUUAGAUACCCCGGUAGU
rnacentral:rRNA from 1 species